rnacentral:lncRNA from 1 species
GUAGAAUUCAGCUGUGAUCCAUCCAGUCCUGGGCUUCUUUUGGUUGACUAUGGAAAUGAUGUUAGACAAAAAGCAAAUUCAACUUCAAAGUGGGUCUUAAAACAGCCAAGACAACUUGCAACAUCAACAACGCAUUUGUUCCACUGAGAAUGAACGUACAGUGCAGUGGUGGUUCAAGAAGUUUUGCAAGGGAGACAAGAGCCUUGAAGACAAGCAGCAUAGUGGCUGGCCAUGAGAAGUUGACGAUGACCAACUGAGAACAAUCAUCAAAGCUGAUCCCCUUAAAACUACACAAGAAGUUGCCAAAGAACUCAUCAUUGGCCAUUUGAAGCAAAUUGGAAAGGUGAAAAAUCACAAUAAGUGGGUGCCUAAUGAGCUGAGUGAAAAUUUUAAAAAAUCAUCAUUUUGAGUGUCAUCUUCUCUUAUUCUAUCCAACAACAAUGACCCAUUUCUCCGUUGGAUGAUGACAUGCGAUGAAAAAUGGAUUUUAUAUGACAAGCGGCAAUGACCAGCUCAGUGGCUGGAUCAAGAAGAAGUUUCAAAGCACUUCCCAAAGCCAAACUUGCACCAAGAAAAGGUCAUGAUCACUGUUUGGGGGUCUUCUGCCAGUCUGAUCCACUACAGCUUUCUGUAGUGGAUCAGGAGGCUGAAGGAGGAGAAUCACUUGAACCCAGGAGGUGGAGGUUGCAGUGAGCUGAGAUCGCACCAUUGGACUCCAUCCUUGGCAAAAAGAGCGAAACACCAUUAAAAAAAAAAUAGGAUGUAUUAUUCUUAUUAUUCUCCUAGUACCUUCUCUCCUUUGCUCAUCUUAAUUUCCUACUCCCUAUGCCAAACAAUGUUACCAACGGCAACAUAUUAGGUGAGUGCAAAAGUAAUAACUGUUUUUGCAUUCGUGGAAUCGUCAUUUGAUAUUGAAAUACAUUUUUGUAUUUCAUUGCCAGUUGUCAUCUAAAAUCCAUUUUUCAUCGCACAUCAUCAUCCAAUGGAGAAAUGGGUCGUUGUUGUUGGAUAGAAUAAGAGAAGAUGACACUCAAAAUGAUGGUUUCCCGGUGAAACCAUUACAUCUGAGAAGUAUGCUCAGAAAAUCGAUGAGAUGCAUCAAAAAUUGCAAUGCCUGCAGCCAGCGUUGGUCAACAAAAAGGGCCUAAUUCUCCACAUCAAUGCCCGACCACAUGUCGUAUAACCAAUGUUUCAAAAGUUGAAUGAAUUGGGCUAUGAAGUUUUGCCUCAUCCACCACAUUCACCUGACCUCUUGCCAAUCAACUACCACUUCUUCAAGCAUCUUGACAACUUUUUGCAGGGAAAGCACUUCCAUGACUAGCAGGAUCCAGAAAAUGCUUUCCAGGAGUUCAUCGAAUCCCAAAGCAUAAACUUUUAUACUACAGGAAUAAACAAACUUAUUUCUCGUUGGCAAACAUGUGUUGAUUGCAGUGGUUCCUAUUUUGAUUAACAAAGAUAUGUUUGAGCCUAGUUAUAAUGAUUUAAAAUUCAUAGUCCAAAACUGCAAUUACUUCUGUGCCAACAUAAUAAUAGCCAAAGCCAGAUUUAAGCCUCUUUCCUGAAACCCAG